rnacentral:rRNA from 1 species
GAGGAAAAGAAACCAACCGGGAUUGCCUCAGUAACGGCGAGUGAAGCGGCAAGAGCUCAAAUUUGAAAGCUGGCCCCUCCGGGGUCCGCGUUGUAAUUUGCAGAGGAUGCUUCGGGCUCAGCCCCCGUCUAAGUGCCCUGGAACGGGCCGUCGGAGAGGGUGAGAAUCCCGUCUGGGACGGGGUGCCUGGGUCCAUGUGAAGCUCCUUCGACGAGUCGAGUUGUUUGGGAAUGCAGCUCUAAAUGGGUGGUAAAUUUCAUCUAAAGCUAAAUACUGGCCGGAGACCGAUAGCGCACAAGUAGAGUGAUCGAAAGAUGAAAAGCACUUUGAAAAGAGAGUUAAACAGCACGUGAAAUUGUUGAAAGGGAAGCGCUUGCGAUCAGACUCGCCUGCGGGGUUCAGCCGGCAUUCGUGCCGGUGUACUUCCCCGUGGGCGGGCCAGCGUCGGUUCGGGUGGCCGGUCAAAGGCCCCGGGAAUGUGUCGCCCUCCGGGGCGUCUUAUAGCCCGGGGUGCCAUGCGGCCUACCUGGACCGAGGAACGCGCUUCGGCUCGGACGCUGGCGUAAUGGUCGUAAGCGACCCGUCUUGAAACACGGACCAAGGAGUCUAACAUCUACGCGAGUGUUUGGGUGGCAAACCCAUACGCGCAGUGAAAGCGAACGGAGGUGGGAACCCUUCGGGGCGCACCAUCGACCGAUCCUGAUGUCUUCGGAUGGAUUUGAGUAAGAGCGUAGCUGUGGGGACCCGAAAGAUGGUGAACUAUGCCUGAAUAGGGCGAAGCCAGAGGAAACUCUGGUGGAGGCUCGCAGCGGUUCUGACGUGCAAAUCGAUCGUCAAAUUUGGGUAUAGGGGCGAAAGACUAAUCGAACCAUCUGGUAGCUGGUUCCUGCCGAAGU